rnacentral:rRNA from 1 species
GAUGAACGCUAGCGGCAGGCCUAAUACAUGCUAGUCGAACGGGAUCCAGAUCAAAGCUUGCUUUGGUCUGGUGAGAGUGGCGCACGGGUGCGUAACGCGUGAGCAACCUACCCUUGUCAGGGGGAUAGCCCGGCGAAAGUCGGAUUAAUACCGCAUGACAUCAUUGAGAGGCAUCUUUCGAUGAUCAAAGAUUUAUCGGACAAGGAUGGGCUCGCGUGACAUUAGCUAGUUGGUAAGGUAACGGCUUACCAAGGCUGCGAUGUCUAGGGGCUCUGAGAGGAGAAUCCCCCACACUGGUACUGAGACACGGACCAGACUCCUACGGGAGGCAGCAGUAAGGAAUAUUGGUCAAUGGACGGAAGUCUGAACCAGCCAUGCCGCGUGCAGGAAGACGGCCCUAUGGGUUGUAAACUGCUUUUAUACGGGAACAAACGUCGGUACGUGUACCGGUCUGAGUGUACCGUAAGAAUAAGGAUCGGCUAACUCCGUG